UACGUAGGGUGCGAGCGUUGUCCGGAAUUAUUGGGCGUAAAGAGCUUGUAGGCGGUUUGUCGCGUCUGCUGUGAAAAUCCGAGGCUCAACCUCGGACUUGCAGUGGGUACGGGCAGACUAGAGUGUGGUAGGGGGAGACUGGAAUUCCUGGUGUAGCGGUGAAAUGCGCAGAUAUCAGGAGGAACACCGAUGGCGAAGGCAGGUCUCUGGGCCACUACUGACGCUGAGAAGCGAAAGCAUGGGGGAGCGAACAGG
rnacentral:rRNA from 1 species